CUCAAAAGCAAAACGACGGCAAGGACGUGUUGCAGAUGGUGGUUGGGGCCGGGCUGGAGGAUAGAGAUAUAAGUUAAGGUGGCGAUGAUUCCUACUCCCAACCACGAACGUUUAGAAUCACUCUUGGAUAGAGUAAGCUGGGAGCAUAAAACAAGGACAGUGAUCCUCGCUGGCCCGCCACCUGUCUGGGAAAUUAUGAAAUUGUGAAAAUUCAGAUGUUAAUGACAACAUUCUCAAAAUAAAGAUUUGUUUGCAAAUAA